AGCUACUGAAUGUCCAACCUACCAGCAACAGAAACCAAUGCUGAAUUCCCAGAAGGGCACUAUUUCUUGAGAAGACCAACAAACCACUUGCUAUUGGCUUCCAUGUGUAAGCUUAGAAAGGUUUACAAAGAAACUGGAAAGAAAAGCACAAAGAAGAGGCAUCUCCUUGCUGCAAAAUGAGGCAAGAAGAGGAAAUAACCCAUAAUAAAUGAUGACUUAGCUAAUGUCUGGAGGAAUAGAAUAGAUCCUAUCAAACAGCUUUGCAGAGUCCUUGGGUUGAAGAUAGAUAGAAAGAUGUUCAAGUGCUAAGAAUGGAAUCCAGUGCCUCACCCAUGCUAGGAAGUGAUCUGAACCACAAUCCUAACCCCAAGCACUAAUCUUGACACUGUAGAUAAAAAUGAACGUUGUUGACUUCCUUGACCUCAUGUUCUCAUGGAAAAGAAGUACAAAAUAUAUAUUAGUAACUUGUGUACAUGUUAAAAGAAGAUAAAUGUUAUUUAAUCCCA